GACACCGGCGAAAGGGCGAGUAACACGAUCGUACGUACCCCGAGGUGGGGGAUAGCGUCGGGAGAACGGCGGUAAUACCCCAUGUGCUCUACUGAGGAAAGCUUCGGCGCCUUGGGAGCGGCGGUCGUCCUAUCAGGUUGUUGGUGAGGUAACGGCUCACCAAGCCGAAGACGGGUAGCGGGUGUGAGAGCAUGACCCGCCGCAUCGGGACUGAGACACUGCCCGGACUCCUACGGGAGGCUGCAGUAACGAAUCUUGCGCAAUGCACGCAAGUGUGACGGAGCAAUGCCGCGUGUGGGAUGAAGCGGUUCCGCCGUGUAAACCACUGUCAGGGUCUAGGAAGAACUGACCAGACCCAGAGGAAGGGCCGGCUAAUCUCGUGCCAGCAGCCGCGGUAAGACGAGAGGCCCAAGCGUGAGGCGGAUUCACUGGGCUUAAAGGGUGCGUAGGCGGAUUGGCAAGCAUCUCGUGAAAUCCCUCGGCUCAACCGAGGAAUUGCGGGGUGAACUGCCAGUCUUGAGGAAGGCAGAGGCUGUCGGAACGUUCGGUGGAGCGGUGAAAUGCGUAGAUAUCGAACGGAACGCCGAAGGGGUAGCCAGGCAGCUGGGCCUUACCUGACGCUGAGGCACGAAAGCGUGGGGAUCAAACAGGAUUAGAUACCCUGGUAGUCCACGCCGUAAACGAUGUGCACUAGCUCGAUGCAGAUCUGACUCUGUGUCGGGCGCCGAGAAAUCAUUAAGUGCACCGCCUGGGGAGUACGGUCGCAAGGGCUAAAACUCAAAGGAAUUGACGGGGGCUCACACAAGCCGUGGAGCAUGUUGCUUAAUUCGAAGCAACGCGAAGUAGCCGUACCUGGGGUGUGACAUUGCACGGAUUAGUCAUUGGAAACAGUGAUGACGCUCUUCGAGUGGUACGUGCACAGGUGCUGCAUGCCUGUCGUCAGCUCGUGCUGUGAAGUUUCGGUUUAAGUCCCUUAACGAGCGCAACCCUUAUCGCUAGUUGCCAGCGCAUUAUGCCGGGACUCUAGCGAGACUGCCGGUGUCAAACCGGAGGAAGUUGGGGAUGACGUCAAGUCCUCAUGGCCUUUAUGCCCAGGGUGUCAAACGUGCUACAAUGGCGUGUACAGAGCGACGCAAUACCGUGAGUUGGAGCAAAAUCGCAAAAAGCACGCCCCAGUUCGGAUAGCAGUCUGUAACUCGACUGCUUGAAGCCGGAAUCGCUAGUAAUCGCGGAUCAGCCAUCCCGCGGGAAUACGUUCCUGAGCAUGUACACACCGCCCGUCAAGUCAUGGAAGCCGGGAGUGCCCGAAGUCGCU
rnacentral:rRNA from 1 species